GGGUCUGUAUCUUUCAGCUGCCUCUCUGCUGGCCUUCUCUAACCUGGCCUUUUCUAUCCGUCCUCAGUAUUUCUAGCCCCUGCAGGCCCACCUUCUCCACCAUUUCUAGAUGAUGGAACGGCAGCAACAGAAGAGAUGGCUGCAUUUGGCUCACAGGCAUAGGUUGGACUCCUGCUUCUUUGGACCUCUCCUGGGCGCCGUGCUGUGUUCCCCAUUCUCUGAGCAGUGGAGAGUGACUGGUAUCUUUUCCAUAUUCGAAAUCUCUCUCAGGCUCCAGCAAGACCUCCACAUCAGUGCCUGGGGUUCAGUCUAAUGCAUGACUGUGCCAUGGAUGUCAACGGGCAGAUGAGAGUUGGCCAGCUGGGAAGGAACCUACUGUGUGUCUCCUCUCCCUGCAGUCCCUGCACUCAGGGAAGCCAGAUGCCUCCUGCUCCCGUGGGAGUUCUCUCUCCCUGUAGGUCUCUGCUGAUUAUGUGUAUGCACAGCUUGAGUAUUUUGAGUGUUGAGCUGGGGGCUCCAGGCUACUUGAGGACAGACAGGGUUUGGAGGCAGGAUCCCCUGACAGAAGAGACAUUUGCUGAACCGUGGCAGAGGACUGAGGUUUGGAAAAUGGG
rnacentral:lncRNA from 1 species